UCCACCCUGGUGUACAGGACCCAAUGGCAAGCCGCUUUAGCUCCUAUCUGGUCCAUGGGGAUAGGUUACAUACCCUUUGCUAGAGAGUGAAGAUGAAUCCCAAUGUCAUUUGGAUCCUGCUUUCAUGGGAUGAUUCAGCUUUCUCAGGCUGAGUCAGGAACCAGUCCUCUGUGUCACAUGCCAUUCUUCUGAUUUUCAUGAAUAUCCUCUAAAAGGCAGCUAAGCACUCGCUGUCUUCUUCCUUUUGCCUCAUCAAGCACGGGGGACGCUGGAAGGAAGAGGCUCCAGGGACCUACCUGACUUCCUAUUCAUGCUGAUCCCACUGAGACCCUUAUCAACCCUGACCUGUUCCCCAUGUGCCUCUUGGAUCUGCCUUAUGUUCCAGGUAAUGAAGCUGAUGCUUAGAGAGGUUGAGUAAUCCACCCAUGUCUCUCUGACCCAGGUCUGACCACCAUACUAUUGCCUGCAGAUGAAGAGGAGCAACAUAUUGUAUCCUGUGUUGCUCAAGAGAGCAGAAUUAGGACUUAGAAUAGCCUUCUAAGAAUUGCUCUGUGCCACCAAAUGGGUGGCAGACUUCUAGACAAGUUUUCUAAACUUGUCAGCCUCAACUACAAGUGAGCUGGUGAGAGAAAACAAACAUCACUAUCCAGGGGCUUUUGCUGGACUUACUGAAUGUAACAGAGAUCGGAUUGGAUUGUCUCUAAUGUCUGUUUCACGAAUAGAGUUCUGUAAAUAGUCUGUCUUUUCUGAAGCCAUUGUAUUUUCAGUAUUAGGUCAUUUAGUUGACUGAAAGUGUGUAUUCUGUAAAGAGAGAAAGGGAUGGGGAGAGAAAGGAGACUGUUACUUUUAUUUUCAUGUCCUUUGCUCUCCCACAUGCAUACUCCACCUCUAGCUCUUACACUCAAACAUCUACACUUGCAGCUUACUGUAGAUGCCACUGUCCUUUUCCACAUUUGCACAAGUAGAUUUCUCACUCCCAACCCUUAUUUUGAAAAUAAGGUGUUUCUACAUCUUUCAUUUUAUUUUUAAAAAUAAAAGUUGGACCACAGUUUAGAUAUAUUAAUCACUUUUCCCAGAACUCAUGUUUGGUCAUCUAAAAGCCUGUGUCUAAAAGUUGUGAGGAAUAGUUGAAGCUUUCAUCAAUGUAAAGGUUGGGUAAUACUCUACUGCCAAAAGUAGUUAAUUAAUUUCUGCAGAGUUAAGGUAGUAGAAAUGGGAGCUCUCAUCUGUUUUGAGAAAUGUGUACAAAAUUAAUGUUUUCCCAGAGAAGCAUUUUCCAAUGUCUCCAUCUAAUUUGGCUCCAUUCUGAAGAGAAGCACAAUGAUGCUUCAGCAACUUGAAAUUUUACUAAGUGAACUAACUAAUCCUGCCUUUGAAACAGUGGACUGGGGCUCAAAAGACAAGCUUCUUAGACUAAUACUGGGCACUUUCUCUUUUCUCACUCUCUCUUUAUUCCCUUUUCUUUCUCCUUCUCUUGUUCCAUCUUUUCACUUUGGAAACUAUUAGGUUUCAAAAAUGCAUCUGUAGCUGUUUAUUUUACAUGUGCCUGAUUUUAUGAGUUUAUGGGCUCCUGAAAAUUAAAUUAAUUUUAAAUGAGCUUUAAUUACUAAUGCUUUGGGCCAUUGCCUUUAACAAAGUCAACAUAACAAUCAGGGUUACCUUAGUUUGUCUCUUUGAAGAAUGUAGUCAUUCAUUUGGGCUCUUAUUGAGCAGAGCAGCUUUCUAACUGGAAAAACAA
rnacentral:lncRNA from 1 species